rnacentral:rRNA from 1 species
GUUGACGCUGGCGGCAGGCCUAACACAUGCAAGUCGAACGGUAACAGGAUGUGCUUGCACAUCGCUGACGAGUGGCGGACGGGUGAGUAAUGCUUGGGAACUUGCCUUUGCGAGGGGGAUAACAGUUGGAAACGACUGCUAAUACCGCAUAAUGUCUUCGGACCAAACGGGGCUUCGGCUCCGGCGCAGAGAGAGGCCCAAGUGAGAUUAGCUAGUCUGGUAAGGUAAAGGCUUACCAAGGCGACGAUCUCUAGCUGUUCUGAGAGGAAGAUCANGCCACACUGGGACUGAGACACGGCNCCANACUCCUACGGNAGGCAGCAGUUGGGGAAUAUUGCACAUUGGGGGAAACCCCCUGNUGCAANCUCAU